rnacentral:hammerhead_ribozyme from 1 species
GCAUUACUGACGAGUCCCAAAACAGGACGAAGCAGCUGUUCAAUGC